UACAGAGGGUGCGAGCGUAAUCGGAAUUACUGGGGCGUAAAGCGUGCGUAGACGGUUUCGUAAGUCGGGUGUGAAAUCCCCCGGGCUCAACCUGGGAAUUGCAUUCGAAACUCGAGGCUAGGGUACGGAAGAGGGAAGCGGAAUUUCUGGUGUAGCGGUGAAAAUGCGUAGAUAUCAGAAAGGAAACAUCAGUGGCGAAAAAGCGGGCUUUCCCUGGGUCCCAGUACCCGACGUCAGGGCACGAAAAAGCGUGGGGG
rnacentral:rRNA from 1 species